rnacentral:rRNA from 1 species
GAUGAACGCUGGCGGCGUGCCUAAUACAUGCAAGUCGAGCGAACAGACGAGGAGCUUGCUCCUCUGACGUUAGCGGCGGACGGGUGAGUAACACGUGGAUAACCUACCUAUAAGGCUGGGAUAACUUCGGGAAACCGGAGCUAAUACCGGAUAAUAUAUUGAACCGCAUGGUUCAAUAGUGAAAGACGGUUUUGCUGUCACUUAUAGAUGGAUCCGCGCCGCAUUAGCUAGUUGGUAAGGUAACGGCUUACCAAGGCAACGAUGCGUAGCCGACCUGAGAGGGUGAUCGGCCACACUGGAACUGAGACACGGUCCAGACUCCUACGGGAGGCAGCAGUAGGGAAUCUUCCGCAAUGGGCGAAAGCCUGACGGAGCAACGCCGCGUGAGUGAUGAAGGUCUCCGGAUCGUAAAACUCUGUUAUUAGGGAAGAACAAAUGUGUAAGUAACUAUGCACGUCUUGACGGUACCUAAUCAGAAAGCCACGGCUAACUACGUG